rnacentral:miRNA from 1 species
GCGUGUGCUGGGUGUGGG